rnacentral:rRNA from 1 species
AUAUCAAUAAGCGGAGGAAAAGAAACCAACAGGGAUUACCUCAGUAACGGCGAGUGAAGCGGUAACAGCUCAAAUUUGAAAUCUGGCUCUCGGGCCCGAGUUGUAAUUUGUAGAAGAUGCUUUGGGUGUGGCUCCGGUCUAAGUUCCUUGGAACAGGACGUCAUAGAGGGUGAGAAUCCCGUAUGUGACUGGUCGCCUUCGCCCGUGUAAAGCUCUUUCGACGAGUCGAGUUGUUUGGGAAUGCAGCUCAAAAUGGGUGGUAUAUUUCAUCUAAAGCUAAAUAUUGGCCAGAGACCGAUAGCGCACAAGUAGAGUGAUCGAAAGAUGAAAAGCACUUUGGAAAGAGAGUUAAACAGUAC